UCCACCUCCACGCCAUCUAAUUAUAGCCUGUAACACUCCGCGGUGCUGACGGCGCUGAGCUAUUGACUCUUGACACUCUCUAAAGCUCUUAAUUAUCUUUUCACAUAAGCCCCUUUCAGACCUGUCAACUUCUUUGUAUUGUUUAUGGAGGGAAAAAAGUAGCAUAUUAAGAUUUCAGGACUAUGCACUCAGAAGCAAACUUACACGUGUGCGUGCUCUUGAAUGUCUGUGCACUCAUACACACCGACAGCUGAAGGGGGUUUCCACUCGUGAAACAGAGCUGCAGGAUGACGAUUCUGCUGCCAGCGCGCAGUGGGGUUCUCCAGGCCUUUUUGAGAGUAGAUCACCGUGGAAUUAAGCUGGAAUAUUUCAUUGCUUAAAAUAAAGAGGAUGUCAUGAAUGGAAAUCCAUGAACCAGUCUAGAUGAGACAAGACAGCUUGGACACAUCCUUAAGUCUACCUGAAGACAAAUACCAAAAGCAACUGCCUUCUGCAAGGGGAGGAGGAGAGAGGGAGGAAGAGGAAGGAAGAAAGAGAAAGGGACAGAACUCCUCCCUAGACUGUCCUUUUCAAUGCCAUUGGCCUUGUCCCCACUGUGUCUUCCUUUGUGGUUCCUCUUAAGCUGAUCACUUCACAUACAGCAAGCCAUGGCAAGAACCCUGGAUAAACAUUUUCAUGUGGUC